UCUAGUCAUUUUCACUUAUCUCUUUAGAUUGCAACUCUAAACAAGAAACCCUUCUUCUUCUUUGAGCCACCGCUCCGGCCACAACGAUUCAGAUCCGGCUUCGACGUUUGUUCUCUCUCAUUCACAUGUUCUCUCUCUCGUUCUGUCUCGUUCGCUCUCUCUCUCUCUCGUUCUGUCUAGUUCUCUCUCUCGGUCUCUCGUUCUGUCUCAUUCGCUCUCUCUCACUCUCUCUCUCUUUCUCUCGCUCAUUCUGGUUUGCUCUCUCUAAUUUGUUCUAUUUUUAGGAUUAUUGGUUGAGUAAAGGAAGCAAGAAAUGAUUUCUUAAUUGAUUUGCAAAUCCUCUUUUCUUUUUCUCAGCUCACUGAAAUCCCUAACAUCUCAAAUUCAUUGUUGCAUUCUAGAACACAUUCUUCUUCACUUGUAAGAACUUGAAAAUCCCUAACAUCACCAAUAGUGACGUAAUGUGUAUCGGGGCUUGUCUUUUGUGAUUUCUUCAACCACGUCGACCUGGACAGAGCACUCUGUUAGUUGUGACCAAACUGAAAUCAGUUCCCUUCGUGAUUCCUUUCUUUGUUGUUGAUCUUGUUUCCUUUUUUUUUUUACCGUUGCUAGAGGAUCUCAUGUCUUGGAUAUUUUAGGUGGUGAUAAAAGCGACUCAAAAUGGUUGGUCGAUCAGCGAAAGAAAGAGGUGAAGAUAAUGAAAAGAUGGAUUGCUGAAUAUUAUGUUGCUGAGCUUGUGUAAAGAUUAAGGAGAACUAUGUUUGGGUGGAGAAAGUUCAAUGGAUGGUAAUCUGAUGAAUUUAUGAUCGAUAAUGCUGUUACCUUCAAAGCAUUAUUGGUGUACAUAGAGAAGAAGCUUACAAAAAUACAAACACUUUGAGUUAUUUAAACUCAGCACAAGCUCUUGUGAAUUAUGCACAAGUGGUAAUACAUUUGAAGGAAACGUUACAACCCUGUCGUGAUGGGAGGAUCCUAUGGUGGAAUGCUUGCUGCAUGGUUUAGGUUGAAAUAUCCCCACAUCACGAUUGGGGCUUUGGCGUCAUCAGCUCCACUUCUCUACUUAAUGCAUAUUAUGAUGUUGUUUCAGGGGAUUUCAAGGAAGCCAGUAAGAUAAUGCACAUAAAUACUUCGGUUGAGAUUGACAGGUAUGUACUGGUAAUGCCUAUUGGCAUAAGAAAGGGUACCAUGUUUCAACUCGACCCUUUUAACUUGAAGAACUUUGUUGAAAAUUGCUACAAAAAAUUUGGUUACUCCAAUUUGCUUCGCCCUCAUUGGAUCACUACUUAUUAUGGAGACCAUGUAAAAAAUAUUGUUUAGAUCAUAAGGUUAUAUCAUUAGCAACAUAAAAUUAAGAGCAAUAUAUUUGAACACAAUACUAAACACAAAUACUUGUGGCCAUACACAAUCUCUCUCUUCAUUAAAUUUUUUUUUUUUUUA